UAAAAGUGGGGAUAAUAGUCUUUGGGAAGGUACUGUGGCUGUGGUAUAGCAGGUAUAGUAAGUAGAGACAGUGCCUAAACUAGUAAUGGGAAUAGUAGGCUAAUGUUGUUCCAGAAAAUGUUGCCUCAGACCAAGUAACCUAAUGUACUGGCUGAAGCAAUGACAAUAAUUCAGGGAUCCGGGCCAUUAUUCACACUGGUUGGGUGAAUGUGAGCUCUCAAGGUCAGGGCAUAAACAACAGAAGCCCAAUAAGACUUAUUUACAUGUGAAGGCAAGUGACAACAUCAAUACUGUAAGUGUUAAGGGGGGAGAACAGGUUUCACUCCUAAUUCUGUGAGCUCCUGGGGGGUGCAGCUGUUGUAACAAAUCACUUUCUAAAAAAAAAUCCCAAGUAGGCUGUGCAUGCCUCUGGUCUAUGUCAGCUGUGAUAAGCUGAGAACCUGUGUCCUAGGGCAGAUAGAGAGGAGCAUUGAUAAGGGGACAUAUCGCCAAGUGUGGGUCAUAUAAGAGCUGGCUGAGCUUGCAGUCACUACUCGAUGGAUGCUCAUGGACUGGAGAGCCAUUCCCUUCUUCUCCCACAUCUGACUCAUGUACUGCAAGGAAGCUGUUGCCUAUUUUAUUUCUGGUAAAUGCAUCAUUUCUGAGAGGAAACGGAAAGCAGUGAUUAGCCAACACUCUCCAGCCCAAGGUUGAAUGAAGGUGCUAAGGUUUAGCCCAUAGCAGAUCAUAUGGUGUAGCUCAAUAUAUCUGGUAGAAGGAAGUUGAUACAGUGCAGCACAUAGCAGAUUACAUGAUGUAGCUGAAGAUGUCUUGUAGAAGUAAAGUGAUACAAUUCAACCCAUAGCAGAUCAUACAGUGUAGCAUAAGAAAUAAGCUACUAAGUUUCAGCCCAUUGCAGAUCGUAUGAUGUAGCUCAAGAUAUAUGGUAGACGAUGAUACAGUUCUGCCCAUAGCAAAUUAUACAAUAGAACUCAAAAUGUCUACUAGAAUCAAGGUGCUAAGGUUCAGCCCGUAGCAGAUCAUAAGAUAUCUUGUAGAACUAAGGUGCUAUGGUUCAGCCCUUCUCAUAUGUAGCUCAAGAUAUCUGGUAGAAGAAAGAGGAUACAAUUCAGCACAUAGCAGAUCAUACAGUGUAGCAUAAGAUGUCUUCUAGAAUAAAGGUGCUAAGGUUCAGCCCAUAGCAGAUCAUAAGAUGUCUUGUACAAUUAAGGUGCUAAGGUUCAGCCCAUCACAGAUCAUAAGGUGUAGCUCAAGAUAUCUGGUAGAAGGAAGAGGAUACAAUUCAGCUCAUAGUAGAUCAUACAGUGUAGCAUAAGAUGUCUUCUAGAAUAAAGGUGCUAAGGUUCAGCCCAUAGCAGAUCAUAAGAUGUCUUGUACAAUUAAGGUGCUAUGGUUCAGCCCAUCACAGAUCAUAAGGUGUAGCUCAAGAUAUCUGGUAGAAGGAAGAGGAUACAAUUCAGCUCAUAGUAGAUCAUACAGUGUAGCAUAAGAUGUCUUAUAGAAUUAAGGUGCUAUGGUUCAGUCCAUAGUAGAUCAGAAGAUGGAGCUUAAAUGUCUUGUAGAAGGAAGACAAUACAGUUCAGCCCAUAGCAGAGCAUACAGUAUAGCAUAAGAUGUCUUGUAAAACCAAGGUGCUGAGGUUCAGCCCAUAGCAGAUCAGUCAGUAGAGCUCAGUAGAGCUCAAGAUGUCUUGUAGAAGAAAGGUGAUACAAUUCAACCAACAGCACAUUGUGCACAUACGAUGUAGGCAGGACAUUGUAGACACACACACCCACACACACACAUAUAUAUAUGUCCACUUGCUUUGUCUAUGGUGUCUAACCAACACUUGUGUGUGCUAGGGUGCCACAUGUGAAGACUAAGUCACUGUUUGAGGUCUAGGUGUAUUAGCAUUACUCACUUUUUUGAUGGAAGGGAGGAAGAAAGGAUUCUGUAUGUAUAUAAAUCAAGUAUACAGUUGAGUUUAGCAUACAACUGCCCUGCCAUCAUCACCGCUAACCUUCCUCAUGUCUGCUCUCCUCUGAGGAUCUUCUCUCUCUAUCUGUACAUCCAUUUCCAGCUGAGACUCUUUAUCUCCUGAUAUAUUCUGCAUUUCUCUCUGUAAUGCUAUAAUAUAUUCUGCGUGUCCCUCUGCAAGGCUCUGUUAUAUUCUUCUCUCUGUAAGCUUGUGCUCUGCUCUCUGUAAUGCUCAUAUAUAAUAUUCUGCAUUCCUCUCCGGAAGCCUGUUUCUCAUUCAACUCUGCAUUUCUCUCGAAGUCUCCCACCUGUUCCAUUCUGCAUUCCUCUGUGUACACCUGUUUUCUGACUAUAUUUCUCUUGGUGAACCUUUAAUUCUCCAUUAAAUCUUUCAUUUCUCUCUGUAAAACCAA